UCAGAAGUAGCUCAACGGUAGAGCGCCCGUAUUACGGACCGGAGGUUCUAGGUUCAAUUCCUAGCUUCUGAC
rnacentral:tRNA from 1 species